CAUCAGUUUGUAUAUCUACAUGUGGACGAAGUCGUCAUCCCACUCAUCCCCUUGUGGUGCAUUUUGUAUGACUGGCUCUUCCUCUGCUGCGACAUGUGACCUAUCUGAAUCAGGUGCAAACAUCAAGUUCCAAAAUCCAGCCCCUGGUCCUUCCUCCAUUGUCAUAUAGAGUUCCUCUUCCACCAUUUCCUCUUCCAGUUCCUCCUCUUGCACCUUCUCCUCUUGUCCUUCCACUUCCUGUAAGCGUGCCAAUUUGGAAAAUGAAAAUUGAUAACAAAUGACAAUAAUUUCAUGCACGCUGACAUGUAGAUUUCAACAAAAAUCACACCUCUUGUAGCAUUUCCCCUACCACCUCGUGAAGCGUUUCCCGUACCACUUCCUGUAGCAUUUCCUCUACCACCUCCUUUAGCCUGCCUCUUCCUGCCUCUUGCAUUAUCACUUGUUUGGUGGCUGGAUUGAGGCACAUCCUCUGGAAUAUCUUCAGUAACACCCCUCCUCCUAACUCUUCCAGUAGCCAUAGCAGUUGUCACUCUUGGUGG
rnacentral:lncRNA from 1 species